rnacentral:tRNA from 1 species
GCGCCUGUAGCUCACCUGGAUAGAGUAACAGACUUCGAAUCUGUAGGCAGUGGGUUCGAGUCCCGCCGGGCGCA